rnacentral:rRNA from 1 species
GAUGAACGCUGGCGGCAUGCCUAACACAUGCAAGUCGAACGGAAACACCAUGAGCUUGCUCCCCUAACGGUGGCGGGGGGCGGGUGAGUAACGCAUGCAUCACCUACUUAUUAUUCUUGGAUCAUAACGGGAGAUCGGAGCUGAUACUAGCUAAUAUAUUCAACCGGGUAGUUCAGUGGUUAUUGGCACUUUUGCCGUUUCUAUUAGAUGAUGUCGGAUUAGCUAGUUGGGUGGGUAAAGGCUUACCAAGGCGACGAUCCGUAGCUGGUCUGAGAGGAUGAUCAGCCACACUGGAACUGAGACACGGUCCAGACUCCUACGGGAGGCAGCAGUGGGGAAUAUUGGACAAAGGGCGCAAGCCUGAUCCAGCAAUGCCGCGUGGGUGAUGAAGGUCUUCGGGUUGUAAAGCUCUUUUGUUGGGAAAGAAAAGCAGUAUAAUAAUACAGGGACGUCUUGACGGUACCUAAAGAAUAAGCACCGGCUAACUACGUG